rnacentral:rRNA from 2 species
GUACGCUUCUUUUUCCACCGGAGCUUGCUCCACCGGAAAAAGAAGAGUGGCGAACGGGUGAGUAACACGUGGGUAACCUGCCCAUCAGAAGGGGAUAACACUUGGAAACAGGUGCUAAUACCGUAUAACAAUCGAAACCGCAUGGUUUUGAUUUGAAAGGCGCUUUCGGGUGUCGCUGAUGGAUGGACCCGCGGUGCAUUAGCUAGUUGGUGAGGUAACGGCUCACCAAGGCCACGAUGCAUAGCCGACCUGAGAGGGUGAUCGGCCACAUUGGGACUGAGACACGGCCCAAACUCCUACGGGAGGCAGCAGUAGGGAAUCUUCGGCAAUGGACGAAAGUCUGACCGAGCAACGCCGCGUGAGUGAAGAAGGUUUUCGGAUCGUAAAACUCUGUUGUUAGAGAAGAACAAGGAUGAGAGUAACUGUUCAUCCCUUGACGGUAUCUAACCAGAAAGCCACGGCUAACUACGUGCCAGCAGCCGCGGUAAUACGUAGGUGGCAAGCGUUGUCCGGAUUUAUUGGGCGUAAAGCGAGCGCAGGCGGUUUCUUAAGUCUGAUGUGAAAGCCCCCGGCUCAACCGGGGAGGGUCAUUGGAAACUGGGAGACUUGAGUGCAGAAGAGGAGAGUGGAAUUCCAUGUGUAGCGGUGAAAUGCGUAGAUAUAUGGAGGAACACCAGUGGCGAAGGCGGCUCUCUGGUCUGUAACUGACGCUGAGCUCGAAAGCGUGGGGAGCAAACAGGAUUAGAUACCCUGGUAGUCCACGCCGUAAACGAUGAGUGCUAAGUGUUGGAGGGUUUCCGCCCUUCAGUGCUGCAGCUAACGCAUUAAGCACUCCGCCUGGGGAGUACGACCGCAAGGUUGAAACUCAAAGGAAUUGACGGGGGCCCGCACAAGCGGUGGAUCAUGUGGUUUAAUUCGAAGCAACGCGAAGAAACUUACCAGGUCUUGACAUCCUUUGACCACUCUAGAGAUAGAGCUUCCCCUUCGGGGGCAAAGUGACAGGUGGUGCAUGGUUGUCGUCAGCUCGUGUCGUGAGAUGUUGGGUUAAGUCCCGCAACGAGCGCAACCCUUAUUGUUAGUUGCCAUCAUUCAGUUGGGCACUCUAGCAAGACUGCCGGUGACAAACCGGAGGAAGGUGGGGAUGACGUCAAAUCAUCAUGCCCCUUAUGACCUGGGCUACACACGUGCUACAAUGGGAAGUACAACGAGUCGCGAAGUCGCGAGGCUAAGCUAAUCUCUUAAAGCUUCUCUCAGUUCGGAUUGUAGGCUGCAACUCGCCUACAUGAAGCCGGAAUCGCUAGUAAUCGCGGAUCAGCACGCCGCGGUGAAUACGUUCCCGGGCCUUGUACACACCGCCCGUCACACCACGAGAGUUUGUAACACCCGAAGUCGGUG